rnacentral:rRNA from 1 species
GACGAACGCUGGCGGCGUGCUUAACACAUGCAAGUCGAACGAUGAAGCCCAGCUUGCUGGGUGGAAGAGUGGCGAACGGGCGAGUAACACGUGAGUAACCUGCCCCUGACUCUGGGAUAAGCGCUGGAAACGGUGUCUAAUACUGGAUAUGAGCAAUGGCCGCAUGGACUGUUGUGGGAUAGAUUUAUUGGUUGGGGAUGGACUCGCGGCCUAUAAGCUUGAUGGUGAGGUAAUGGCUCACCAUAGCGACGACGGGUAGCCGGCCUGAGAGGGUGACCGGCCAGACUGGGACGGAGACACGGCCCAGACUGCUACGGGAGGCAGCAGUGGGGAAUAUUGCACAAUGUGCGAAAGCCUGAUGCAGCAACGCCGCGUGAGGGAUGACGGCCUUCGGGUUGUAAACCUCUUUUAGUAGGGAAGAAGCGAAAGUGACGGUACCUGCAGAAAAAGCAGCGGCUAACUACGUGCCAGCCGCCGCAGUAACAC